GGGUUGGUGGUGUAAUGCUAAAACGUAAUUGCCUCUCACCACAGUUGGCCUGGGUUCAAUCCCAGUCGACCCC
rnacentral:tRNA from 1 species